CAAUGGCUGAGGGAUUAUGAGUGUGGGCCGGGACAAUGACAUCACAGACCAUCAACCCACAGCCUGGUCCUGGGAGAAGACCUAUUCUUUCUUCAAAGCAGCCAUGGGAAUCAGGCUCCUCUGUCGUGUGGCCUUUUGUUUCCUGGCUGUAGGCCUCGUAGAUGUGAAAGUAACCCAGAGCUCGAGAUAUCUAGUCAAAAGGAUGGGAGAGAAAGUGUUUCUGGAAUGUGUCCAGGAUAUGGACCAUGAAAAUAUGUUCUGGUAUCGACAAGACCCAGGUCUGGGGCUACGGCUGAUCUAUUUCUCAUAUGAUGUUAAAAUGAAAGAAAAAGGAGAUAUUCCUGAGGGGUACAGUGUCUCUAGAGAGAAGAAGGAGCGCUUCUCCCUGAUUCUGGAGUCCGCCAGCACCAACCAGACAUCUAUGUACCUCUGUGCCAGCAGUUUAUCCACAGCGCAGCACAGCCAAAUCCUCUCUGCACAAAAAGAGCGGACGUAAGAGAGAAGGGGCCCUAACUCAGGGCUGGUGCUGGCUCCAAUGGCAUAUUCGUGCUAAAUAGAAAAAAAGUGGCCACUAAGGAGAAACUAGCUCCAUAAGCACACUUCUUUGCAAGGAGAGAAUGAGGUAUUAUUUUUCACCCCUUUACAAGUCAGGGACUGUUCUGGAUUUAAUUCUCCCAAUCCAGUGUGUUGUAAAUUCACGAGUCCCAACAAGGAGGAAAAGUCCUCUCGCAUAUUCACACCGUAACCCUGUUCUACCAUUUCGUUAAUUAAUUUUACCUUCCCUUUUCUAUCCUUGUCUCUCUUAACUGUGCAUUUUCUACUUUGCUUAGUGUUUUGCUCUUGGUUGACAUUUCACUAGAGGACAUUAACAUAUUCUAAAUUCUUUCGAUGAUUUUUACUGUCCAUGUGCUGAUUCAAGAGAAAGUUUGUGGAAUUUGAAUUUUAUUCAUUCAAUUUAGAAAGAGAAAAACUCUGAUUAAAACAAAUCUUCGUCCAGGUUCUCUGAUCAAUCAUAUUUUGCUGGAAAAAAUUCUGAUCACAGAAGGUGUAAACUAUGCUGCAGAAGGUGGUAGGAAUUUGGUUAUAACUGUACUCACAAUCUUCUGGAAAAAGUGUGUAUUUGUCUGUCUUUAAGAAUAAAACAUAUGCUCUUCUGUCAGUAAAAAUUAACAGUGCUUUGGAAAUACAAAUAAAUGUAAAGGGUAUUAGAAAUCCCAAACUGCAGAGCACUUGCACAAUUAUUAUUGGCAAGACAAAACAGGCAUCUGAAAACGUAUUUUGAUUCAGUGCUAAAUUUUUGUGUGGAUGAAGUCAGAGAAAAAAAUUAAAUGAAUGUGUAUCACAAUAUUCAAGAUUAAGUUUGUGUGAGAUAGGACUUGAGCUGAUUUUGAAUACAAGUAAAUGAGGGAAGAGAAACCAUCAAAAGGAAGAAAUACCCUGCAAAUGUUUCUGUGAGAGAGUCUACCAGAAGGAAGAGGAAGAUUCUUUCCCUGAGGAAAGACAGGAAUCACAAUUCUCCCGGCUGAGGUCAACAUCCAGAACAGAGAAAGCACACCUUCCCAGAAUAUUAUUAAAAUCCUUUCCCUUUUGCCCCGAGAAUACAUGCUAGCGGUGCUUGCGGCUGCAGCGUUUCCCCUGAGAUAACACACAAGGUUUGAUACAAGAAAUUCUUUCUCCACCUUCUAAACAUUACAGUGCUUAACUCCUACAUCCUGUUCAAGAAGGAGAAUUCUGAGCACACGGUUAGCCAUAGAAACUUCAGACUGACAUUGAUUAAAAGGAUGCUGAAAAAGCAUCGUGAGCCAGGGCAGCAACGUCUCUGGGGUCGUCCACGCUCUGAUGAUAUCACACCUCUUGGCCCACCUGGAAGACAUUUUCCCAACAGCAUUACCACCAACAUCAAAGAAACAAAACCCAACUGGUCACUGCAACUUUUGCUGCUCACACAAUGACGAGGAUGGCAAGAUCUAUAGAGAACGGCAAUAUUUUUGUGCGGAAUGUGAUGUUUCACUUUCUGUUGUUCCGUGCUUUGAAAUUUUCCCACACGAAAAAAUGAUCUAAUAGUGAUUAUUAUAUACAUUUCUGUGAUGUUAGGAUUAGAGGCCAGCUCUGUUUAGAAAUAAUUCCAAGAACAGUUUUUAUAUUUUAUUUUCUUGUUGAUAAUCAGUCAAAUUUGCCUCAGCCUCAAAGAGCAUGUUUAUGUCAAAUUAAAUGAAUGCUGGCAGCGAGCUGCACUUUUUUUACUAAACAGGAAAAGGGUUAAAUAACAGAACACUGUAUCUACAGAUUUUCAUAUUCAGUGAAACUUCAGGUUUUCUGAGAGUCCUACAUUUUCCCACAGAUUAUUUAUUUCUUAUAGCAAGUAUUGCCCAGACUCAGAAGAUCAAUUGCAAGAGAUGGGAACAGGUACCAGCACUUUGCGUCCAUUCCCAGGGCUAUGUGGGACCAUUUCCAACACAGGGGUCAUCACCUCAAUUGAGUCCCUGGUAGAAAGAGUGCUAUGCCAGACUCAGCUUCCCUUCUGGCAUGGUUACCACCUGCUCCCUCCAACACAGCCUCGCCUUGCUAAGAAAAUGCAGCCCAGGGAGAGAGGAAGAACACAUAAAAAAAUGAAAAUGAAAAUAGGCAGAGAUGGAGUAUCAAACAUCAAAGUGAGUAACAGAAGAUAUCUAAAGAGGUCAAAAGGAUUGUAGAUUGGGAUAGGAGGUUUGAAUUUAGAAAAAAAAAUGAAAAAGUGUUCACGGGGGAGUUCACAGUUUACAGAAUAUACUUUUUUCUUCUUCUUCUUCUUCUUUUGAAAUGGAGUCUCGCUCUGUUGCUGAGGCUGGAGUGCAGUGGCACAAUCUUGGCUAAUUGCAACCUACACCUCCCAGGUUCAAGUGAUUCUCCUGCCUCAGCCUCCCGAGUAGCUGGGAUUACAGGCGCACACCACCAUGCCUGGCUAAUUUUUGUUAUUUUUAGCAGAAAUGAGUUUUCAUUAUGUUGGUCAGGCCGGUCUCGAAUGCCUGACCUCGUGAUCUGCCCACCUUGGCCUCACAAAGUGCUGGGAUUACAGGUAUAAGCCACCACGCCUGACCCACAUAAUAGACUUUUAAAGGCACAUAAUAGAUCGUGGAUGUUUACCAUGAGGGUACAGAGAAUAAUUCAGAAAAUGUAAACCAUUAUUUCACUAAACAUACAUAAACAUACAUCACAUUAGGAGACCAACAAAUUCACAGAACAUAAAAAUUGAUACUCUAAAUCUAUAAAUCUAUAAAUAAAUUUGUUUAUUCAUUUAUUUAUUUUGUUUUACUCUAAGUUCAGGGACAGAUGUGCAGAAUGCGCAGGUUUGUUACAUAGGUAUACAUGUGCCAUGGUGGUUUGCUGCAUCUAUCAACCUGUCAUCUAGGUUUUAAGCCCUAUAAGCAUUAGCU